AUGUUGCUAGAUUUGCCGCAGAGGCAAAUGCAUGACUUACUUGCUUUUGACUUUCAUAGUGUUCAGAUCUUUUCUUGUGACAAGGAUGCACAAAAUCAAGUUUUUGCCGGCAGUAGUUUCUUUCGCUGUUCAACUGAUCUGUUCCACUGGAACAAGGGGUCCACUGGACUUCUUAUUGUUUCCCAGCCUGAUGUGGUGGCUCGUUGUGUCUGUGGUCGCUUUUGUAUCUAUGUGAGGUCGUAG
rnacentral:rRNA from 1 species